AUGCAUGCGAUGCAACUAGAAAACUGUAUUUGUCCUCCAGAUAUUGCUCAUUGCCGACUUGCCGUCACAAUGCAAUGGAACAAGGCGCCUAACUACAAUAGGCUAUGUAAAUAUAGGUCGCCGAGUGAGGAUACACAGAUAUUCCUGCAAAUAAACCACUUCAUAUUGUUGAUCGAUCAUGCUAAUUGCACAUCUGAUCUUGCUAGUGGCGAAGAUCUACACACAAGAACAGUAUACUACUGUAUGCCAAGUUGCCAGCCCCCUAUAAAUAUCAGAAACUCCACCGCGUUGAAGUAUAUCCAACUUAGAUCAAGAUUAAGCACAAUUAAGCAAGGCACUUCAGAUUGGUACCUUGACUUGUGA
rnacentral:rRNA from 1 species